GGUCUACUCAGGUUAAAUCCGGU
rnacentral:siRNA from 1 species